rnacentral:rRNA from 1 species
AUACCGCAUACGUCCUACGGGAGAAAGCAGGGGACCUUCGGGCCUUGCGCUAUCAGAUGAGCCUAGGUGGGAUUAGCUAGGUGGUGAGGGAAUGGCUCACCAAGGCUACGAGUCCGUAACUGGUCUGAGAGGAUGAUCAGUCACACUGGAAGUGAGACACGGUCCAGCCUCCGACGGGAGGCAGCAGUGGGGAAUAUUGGACAAUGGGCGAAAGCCUGAUCCAAAAAGGCCUCGUGUGUGAAGAAGGUCUUCGGA